rnacentral:rRNA from 1 species
AUACGGAGGGGGUUAGCGUUGUUCGGAAUUACUGGGCGUAAAGCGUACGUAGGCGGAUCGGAAAGUAAGGGGUGAAAUCCCAGGGCUCAACCCUGGAACUGCCUCUUAAACUCCCGGUCUUGAGUUCGAGAGAGGUGAGUGGAAUUCCUAGUGUAGAGGUGGAAUUCGUAGAUAUUAGGAGGAACACCAGUGGCGAAGGCGGCUCACUGGCUCGAUACUGACGCUGAGGUACGAAAGUGUGGGGAGCAAACAGGAUUAGAAACCCUAGUAGUCC